GCGCUCUUAGUUCAGUUUGGUAGAAUGCGGGUCUCCAAAACCCGAUGUCGUAGGUUCAAGUCCUACAGAGCGUG
rnacentral:tRNA from 2 species